GUGACCCAAAUCAGUAAAACUUGACUCUCUCUCAAAAUCUGAACUCUCUUUCUUAUUUCCCAAAUUUGAACUCUCUUUCUCUCCCUCUCAAAAUCUCGUUUCCCCCCCUUUUUUUUUCUUAUUUCCCAAAUCUGAACUCUCUUUCUCUCCCUCUCAAAAUCUUUCUCUCACUCGAUUCUCGCUCGAAUCUCACUGCCUCUCUCGCUCGAAUUUGUCACUUGAAUCUCUCGCUCGAAUCUCACUGCCUCUCUUGCUCAAAUCUGUCGAUCGAUUCAACUCUUUCAAGUCCACAACUGUUGAAGAUUUCGUAAUCGGUAAGCCUAAACACAUCUUCAUUGAUUCCACUCUCUCUGUAAUGAUCCGAAUUAUGUACUUCUCUGUAAUGGAAUCUGUCUCAAGAAGAAUCUGUAACAACACUUUACACGAAGCUAUGGCGCGCUUGUGCUGGUCCGCUCGUGACAGUGCCUCGUGAAGGCGAACGCGUGUUCUAUUUUCCUCAAGGACAUAUUCAGCAGGUAAAGAUGCUAAUACAGAGGUCGGCUGGGCUUUAUUUGGGUUAUUAUUCUCGGUUUUGCUGUUACUAGAGUUGGUGGAUAUGCAGUUUACAAGUACAGAAUCCAGGCUUUAUUGCAAUCGGAGAAACAACGAGCCGAUGAUUCUGAAAGAAAAUGUGCAGAAGCCCUCGAAUCAAACGAAGAAAUGCGUAAGAAGUUGGAAGAAACUGAAAGAAGAGUUCAUCAACUUCAGGAACCUUUGAACAGGUAGCAUUAGUGCAUAAACUCUUUAGGUUGAUAUAUAUUCACAGUUUUGAAGCUUUGAAAUUGGAUAUACAAUUCAUCAAAGUGCACAUGAGCAAGAUAUAUCAAAAUGUUAGGUCAAAUUAGGUACUUUGUUGGUUACCAUCAAGGAUUCUGCCUUUAUGUGGUUAAAAUGACAUUAUUUUCUUCUUUGAUCUGAUAUCUAUGAGAUCCAAAUGCUUCAAAAUUUCUUUUGAGGUCUGUUUGAGCGACUGUAUCCCUUCCAUUCUUCUUCAGACUUUACAAAAGGGAAGGUAUAUUUUUUUUUUCUCUACGUGCGAAGUAUUGUUGGUUGUUGAGAUUUCAAGUUUUAUGGUUGUAAGUUGCUUGGUAUAUGUAAUUGUAAUCAUAGUGGCAAUAUUGAAUAGACUUAGUUUCCUGUGGCUGGAGUUCACAUUUUGAUUCAUUGGUAAUGGAAAUACCCUAGCAUUUUUUCUGUUCUUGUACUGAUGUAAGAUCAACCACCUGAUUUAUAUAUACCUGAAAGGUCAAUGCAAAACUUGCUAACAUUAUGUAAGAAAAUAGCAAUUACAAGUUCUACAAACACCAGAGGACAGUUCAGCUUUCCGCAGUUCUCAUGCUGGGGGGAGUUCUUAGAGUGGAUUUGAGGUGGGAGCAAUCCAAGAAGCUUCCUUAUGAAUCUCCCAUUUGUAGAUGAGAUUAUUGCAAUUUAUGGAUUUAGAUGGGCCAACUGACACAUUGAAGGUGUAUCUUUUUGUGUUUUCAGAUGGUGUUUUUGUAACGUGUAAAUGUUAGAAAGAGUGAGUUGAUUCCAAGAGUGGAACCGACAAAUUUGGAAAGUCCUUUUUUGCUCUCUAUUUGGAGAGGGAUGAGGGAGGAAAUUAGAAUUAUUUGAUAGAUCGGGAAGUGUUGUGUCGUACGUAUCACAUACAUGAACACUUGACCAACACUAACACGCUAACACGUCAAUUUUCAAAAGUGCAGGACACUACAUCUGGGACAUUUUAAAAAUUUAUAUUUUUAUAAAUAUAUUAUGUGUAAAUAUGUGAAUAGUUUAUUUUCAUAAAUAUGCUAUGGCUUCCGACCACCUUAGCUAUGAUACCUUGUGACAUAAUACAAUGUAAAGAGAGAAAGAUGCCAUAUUAUUGUAUAUUAUCCUCAACACCUACAAUACGAAAAUAAUUAACAAAUUAAUGCUAAUUAAAUAGAGAGGAACCCUAAUGACUAAAAAUAACAAAAGUACAAAAAUAUUUCUAAACAAAAUAUGACAUAUGAAAACAUCCAAGAGAAUCUUUUUCACAAGUUCUGCUAAGUAUUUUUUGGAAAUCUGAUAACUGCAAGGUCUGAGGUUCUACUUUUGGCAACAAGAUGGUAAAAUGGCAGAUUUGUUUUUGUAUUUUCUAACACUCGACAGAUUAGUGCAUUGAAUUUCAUCUAUUAGUCAAAUUAAUUCAUAUAAAGUGGACUUUGGUGGGAUUGUUGCAAGGAAAUUCUAGCAAUGAAGUUGUGCUUCUACAUAGAUAGGUUUCAAAUUAACAAUCAUGCACUGCUGCAUAAAUUAGUAACUUGGUGGCAUGUCUAAAAAUAUGUCUGUCUGUAUGUCUUGUGGGGUUAUGGGAACAUAACCUUUUUAAAGCAAAUUUAGUGUCCUUGGGAUAGCAAUAGUGCAAUUUCAGUGAAACCUUUUCUUUGAUCUCUUUAUCUUUUGCUUGUGGUCUUUUGUUUCCCCAUACUUCUAAAUUUUAUCAUUGCUUUUGUUGAUGAAGAAAUCAAUAAUUGCACAUUUUCAUAACGAAAAGUUCAAAUUGUAUAUCUCCUCAAGUUCAAAUUGUAUAUCUAUUGCAUAUCUCCUCGAGUUCAAAUUGUUUCUUAACGAAAAGUUCUUUCAUCUUGCUUGCUUUCAAUUGAUCCAAUCUCUUAACUUCAGCCUCCACCUUGAAACAUUUUGAAACGACAUCAAAUCUUGCUUGUGAUGCUGAUGCUCUUGAGAAUUAUUGAUUACAUAUGUACUAACUUGCUGGAUUAUAUCAAGGAGAGGAUAUUUCAGCCGAUGAAGCUGAUCAUAAUAAAUUAGUAAUGUGACAGAACAAUUGACGGUCUUCGAAAGGCGUAUCCAUAAGGUUCCACAAGUUUGUCAAUGCUUUACCAAGAUGGUGAAGCUGCAAAGUCCACACAAAAUCCACGGAGAAGACAAUUCAUUAUGUCGAUGCUUCCUCUGAGCAACAGACAAGUCAGAGGAUGUCCAGACAAUUCAUUCAAGCUUGGACUUCAGAAACAAUUAAAAUCAUAAUAAGAUGCUAGGCUGCCUGAAUUUUGUAUCUUGCACUUCAGAAACAUCUACUGGAUAGGCUGCCUGAAAAAGGUAUAGAUGAAAAGAUUAGCAGCUAAUAUGAAUACUUUCUGAUCCAUACAACACACCUUAACUAUAUUUUUAAAUCUACUAUCAGCUAUUCAUUAUGGGACUUGUGAGCUCUAGAAAUGUUCAAAUAAAAGCAGGGGAUUUUGUUGGGUUCUCAAGAUGUACCUUAAUCUUCUUAUCAGUUGAUGGGUUCUAUUUGUAUACCAUUUGCAUUAAGAUUUCAUGACGGGAAGGCAAUGGUGUAAAUGUAUCUUAUUAUAUUAUGCUUACAUAUACACUGCAGUAAACCCAUUGAUUAUGCUAGAUCUUGUGUAACAUAGCAACUACAUAAAAAAGAAAGGUUUGUUCCUGAAGAAAUGUGAACUUUCACAGGAGUUCCUGAAGAAAGGUUUGUUCUAUUAUUUUGAAAUCUUUAUUACUAUUAUUAUUAUAAAUUUUAAAAAAGAAAAGCUGUUUACUCCUUUUGUGAGGGUAAUUUUGGGAGGCAAUGAACUAAGGUGUUCUGUAAUUGUUCUUUUUCUAAUAACACUUUCUUUGUCUAUGUGAUUCGCAGCCUGGCACUUACCUUGAUCAGAAGGAGAAGCUCAUCAAGUAUAGUGAUUUUGUCAACAAAGAGCUUAUAUUGUUUUCUAUGGCAGAUCUUCAAUGGUCAAUUCCUUCAUGUACUUUCAGUUGAGUUACUAAGGUGUUCUGAAAUUUCAUAGCGUGUUGCUACUAAGGCGUUGCUACUUCUGCAGAUGAGACUUAUCAUAGCGUCAAUAGUGAGUUGAGAGAGUUGCCUGCAGUUGAGCUGUCUACACUUCCUUUAAUACUAAAGACUGUGGUUGGGAGUGGUAUCGCUGAUCAGAUUCGUCUAGCAGAACUCAUAUUAAAUGAUGUGGAUUCUGUAGUUUACCUUGUUGACGCGUACGACAAAGAGAGAUUUGCAAAGGCCCAAAAAGGAGCUGGAUGCCCUCAUCUUAGACGAUUCACUUGCAAAUGUCCCGUUUCUCAUACUUGGGAACAAGAUUGACACACCCUAUGCUGCCUCAGAGGAUGAGUUGAGAUAUUACUUGGGUUUGACUGGUGUUACUACCGGUAAGGGUAAUGUUGACCUCGCUGACUCAAAUGUCCGUACUAUUGAGGUCUUCAUGUGCAGUAUCGUGCGCAAGAUGGGAUAUGGCGAUGGCUUUAAGUGGCUUUCCCAAUACAUUAAGUAGGAGAAUCGGAGAAUGGAAGAAGCAAGUGAAUGUGCGAAGCCUUCUAAGGGUAACUUUCAUGCCACUGCUGCAUGAAUGUAUAUAUUGGGAAUGUAAAGUUUAGUAUGUAGCUUUUACCUUGUUAUCUUGCAAACAGUCUUGCUAUUUUUUUGGUGGGGAAGGUUAAGUUGAUUCUGUUCUCUCUCUGUGUCUGUCUCUCUUCGUACUUGACACGAUUGUAAAGAAAUA